rnacentral:rRNA from 1 species
UGAUACGUAGGGGGCAAGCGUUGUCCGGAAUCAUUGGGCGUAAAGAGCUCGUAGGCGGCUUAGUAAGUCGGUCGUGAAAUACCGAGGCUCAACCUCGGCACUGCGGUCGAUACUGCUAUGGCUAGAGUUUGGUAGAGGAGAACGGAAUUCCCGGUGUAGCGGUGGAAUGCGCAGAUAUCGGGAGGAACACCUGUAGCGAAGGCGGUUCUCUGGGCCAAUACUGACGCUGAGGAGCGAAAGCGUGGGGAGCAAACAGGAUUAGAUACCCUGGUAGUCCACGCUGUAAACGUUGGGCACUAGGUGUGGCGACCCGACCAACGGUUGCCGUGCCGAAGCUAACGCAUUAAGUGCCCCGCCUGGGGAGUACGGCCGCAAGGCUA